UUAGUACUCCCUCCGAUCCAUAUUAUUUGUCGAAAUAUUACAUGUAUCUAGACGCUUCUUAAACAUAAAUACAUCCAUAUUUGAACAAAUUUGAGACAAGUAAUAUGGAUCGGAGGGAGUAUAUU
rfam:Brachypodium distachyon strain Bd21 chromosome 2, whole genome shotgun sequence.